rnacentral:rRNA from 1 species
UACGGGGGGGGCAAGCGUUGUUCGGAAUUACUGGGCGUAAAGGGCUCGUAGGCGGCCAACUAAGUCGGACGUGAAAUCCCCAGGCUCAACCUGGGAACUGCGUCUGAUACUGGAUGGCUUGAAUUCGGGAGAGGGAUGCAGAAUUCCAGGUGGUAGCGGUGAAAUGCGUAGAUAUCUGGAGGAAUACCGGUGGCGAAGGCGGCAUCCUGGACCGACAGUUGACGCUGAGGAGCGAAAGCUAAGGGGAGCAAACGGGG